rnacentral:rRNA from 1 species
GACAGAGGGGCCGAGCGUUAGGCGGAAUUACUGGGCGUAAAGAGUGUGUAGGCGGUGUUCUAAGUCUGUUGUGAAAUCUCCCGGCUUAACUGGGAGGGUGCGGCGGAAACUGGAAUGCUAGAGGAUGGGAGAGGUAAGCGGAAUUCCUGGUGUAGCGGUGAAAUGCGUAGAUAUCAGGAGGAACACCUGUGGUGUAGACAGCUUACUGGACCAUUUCUGACGCUGAGACACGAAAGCGUGGGUAGCAAACAGG